rnacentral:tRNA from 1 species
GGGCCCAUAGCUCAGUCGGUUAGAGCGCAUGCCUGAUAAGCAUGAGGUCGGUGGUUCGAUUCCACUUGGGCCCA